rnacentral:rRNA from 1 species
GACGAACGCUGGCGGCGUGCUUAACACAUGCAAGUCGAACGGAAAGGCCCUGCUUUUGUGGGGUGCUCGAGUGGCGAACGGGUGAGUAACACGUGAGUAACCUGCCCUUGUCUUUGGGAUAACUUCAGGAAACUGGGGCUAAUACAGGAUAGGAGCUCCUGCUGCAUGGUGGGGGUUGGAAAGUUUCGGCGGUUGGGGAUGGACUCGCGGCUUAUCAGCUUGUUGGUGGGGUAGGGGCUUACCAAGGCUUUGACGGGUAGCCGGCCUGAGAGGGUGAACGGCCACAUUGGGACUGAGAUACGGCCCAGACUCCUACGGGAGGCAGCAGUGGGGAAUAUUGCACAGUGGGCGGAAGCCUGAUGCAGCAACGCCGCGUGCGGGAUGACGGCCUUCGGGUUGUAAACCGCUUUCGCCUGUGACGAAGCGUGAGUGACGGUAAUGGGUAAAGAAGCACCGGCUAACUACGUG